rnacentral:rRNA from 1 species
UUUUGCCUACGGGGGGCAGCAGUGGGGAAUAUUGCACAAUGGGGGGAACCCUGAUGCAGCGACGCCGCGUGAGUGAAGAAGUAUUUCGAUAUGUAAAGCUCUAUCAGCAGGGAAGAAGAUGACGGUACCUGAGUAAGAAGCCCCGGCUAACUACGUGCCAGCAGCCGCGGUAAUACGUAGGGGGCAAGCGUUAUCCGGAUUUACUGGGUGUAAAGGGAGCGUAGACGGCAUAGCAAGUCUGAAGUGAAAGCCCAAGGCUCAACCAUGGGACUGCUUUGGAAACUGUUAAGCUAGAGUGCUGGAGG